rnacentral:rRNA from 1 species
CACGUAGGGCGCAAGCGUUGUCCGGAAUUAUUGGGCGUAAAGAGCUCGUAGGCGGUCUGUUGCGUCCGCUGUGAAAACUCGGGGCUUAACCCCGAGCCUGCAGUGGAUACGGGCAGACUAGAGGUAGGUAGGGGAGAAUGGAAUUCCCGGUGUAGCGGUGAAAUGCGCAGAUAUCGGGAGGAACACCGGUGGCGAAGGCGGUUCUCUGGGCCUUACCUGACGCUGAGGGACGAGAGCUAGGGGAGCGAAUGGG